GUGAAUCAUCGAAUCUUUGAACGCAAAUUGCACUCUCCGGUUUUCCGGGAGAGUAUGCCUGUUUGAGGGUCAGCCUAAAAAAAAUCGACAUUGUUGCUGUUAUUUAAUGGUGACUUUCGUCGGAGAUUGGGUUAUCUUAAACCUUUUUUUUUUUUUUUUAAGCGUUUAAAAUUUUUUUUUCACGUUUAUAUACACUUU
rnacentral:misc_RNA from 1 species